AUUGAACGCUGGCGGCAGGCUUAACACAUGCAAGUCGAGCGAGCGGCGGACGGGAGAGUAAUGUCUGGGAAACUGCCUGAUGGAGGGGGAUAACUACUGGAAACGGUAGCUAAUACCGCAUACCAUCAGAUGUGCCCAGAUGGGAUUAGCUGGUAGGUGGGGUAAUGGCUCACCUGGGCGACGAUCCCUAGCUGGUCUGGGAGGAUGACGAGCCGCACGGGAACUGGGACACGGUCCAGGCUCCUAGGGAAGGCAGCAGUGGGGAAUAUUGGACAAUGGGCGCAAGCCGGAUGCAGCCAUGCCGCGUGUGUGAAGAAGGCCUUCGGGUUGUAAAGCACUUUCAGCGAGGAGGCGUUACUCGCAGAAGAAGCACCGGCUAACUCCGUGCCAGCAGCCGCGGUAAUUC
rnacentral:rRNA from 1 species